AUGCUUUUGCAGAGGCAAUAUUGUAGCCUGUGAGGUUAAUCCGAGGCGCGAUCAUUGCUGGUUGAAAACUUUACCAUUGGG
ensembl:snRNA U4 U4 spliceosomal RNA